rnacentral:lncRNA from 1 species
AUGGAUGGAUUUUGCUGCCUCCAAAGCAGGUCAUUUUUAUGUUGUGAUGUACUUCGUGCUUUCCUCCCACCAGGAGGGGCUGGAGGCUACCAUGCCUUCCCACCAGGCUCUCAUUCUGUAGCUUUGGAGAUGGACACUUGUUCUCCCUGGACUCUUUCCGAGUGCUCCAGGGUUGGUGGAUGUUCAUUCUGGAUGUACCUUCACCUGGCAGAUGUUCCCUUCAUCCAUCAAAGAAUGCAGGGUGUAUGGAACACCCCGAGGAUCUGCUAUAGCCGAGUCUCUGGCUUGCUGGUCACUUCUGCUGCCUAGCUCCUCAACAAACUCUUGACAGUUUGAGUAAUGACUUUGUGUUACUUAUCCCUGGGUCUCCAUUGUAAUGGUGAAAAGUAAGUACAAGAAACACAACCACCACCAAGAAGCCCAGUAUACGUGGGAAACCUGCAAACUUCUUAAAAA